rnacentral:rRNA from 1 species
UGCAGAAUCCCGUGAACCAUCGAGUCUUUGAACGCAAGUUGCGCCCGACGCCUUCGGGCUGAGGGCACGCCUGCCUGGGCGUCACGCAUCGCGUCGCCCCCACACCAAUUUUGGUGCGGGGCGGAUAAUGGCAUCCCGUUAGCUCGGUUUGCCCAAAACUGAUCCCUCAUCGACGGAUGUCACAACCAGUGGUGGUUGAAAGAUCAUUGGUGUCGUUGUGCUUCACUCUGUCGCAUGCUUGGGCAUCGUAAUAAAACAAUGGUGCUAACGCGCCUUCGACCGCGACCCCAGGUCAGACGGGACUACCCGCUGAGUUUAAGCAUAUCAAUAAGCGGUGGAGAAGAAACUUACAAGGAUUCCCUUAGUAACGGCGAGCGAACCGGGAAUAGCCCAACUUGAGAAUCGGGCGGCCACGCCGUUCGA